rnacentral:tRNA from 1 species
GGGCACUUAGCUCAGUUGGUUAGAGCGGCGGCCUUAUAAGCCGCGUCUGCCGAGGGUUCAAGUCCCUCAGUGCCUA